UCUAAUUCUUCUUUCUAAUAGUAAAUAAAUUCAAGGGCCUUUGAGCUUGAUCUUGAAUCUAUAUUUGUUUUCGCGAAAGAUGAUCUUGUUCUUGAUCUUGAGCUUGAGCUUGAUUGCUUGAACUUGAUCUUGAUUCAUGAGUUUGAACUUGAUUUCUUGAACUUGAACUUGAUUGCUUGAAGCUUGAAACUUGUAGAGAAAUUUGCGGCGUUUGAUCCACGAGCUCUCUCUUGCUUCUUGUU
rnacentral:lncRNA from 1 species